CGGGGCCGCUCGGCUCCAACCGGGACUCGCCCCCGAGGCGGAUGCGCCGGCCGGACCAGCGGAUUCGCGGGUCGGGGUCACGCUGGUCAGUCUGUGUCCCUGAUCUAACCCAGGGAUGCCUAGUGAUUCAACAGUAUACGUCCCAGAAGCGAAACUAACAAGAGCACGUGUGAGGAAAUGGACAUCCCAGAGAUUAGAUAAUUUGUCCUGGGCCCGUGACCGUUAGGAGGUAGAACGUGAAUUCACGUCCAGUCUGCUGGACCGUAAAGUUCAUCCCCUUAACUAUUCCACUACACUGAGGAAGCUCUCUUCAACUGUCGUAAGCGGAAUUUGCUGAUUGGUCAACAAAGUAGUCAACAAAAACUACAGCCCACAGGGGAAGCCCGUGGCGCGGCGGAAGAGAAAACAGAGGAUCCCAAAAUGAAGACACUUGCUCAAGUUCACACAGCUGUUAAGUGGAUGGCAAGGGGCCAGACUUCUAAGGUGCAGAGAUUGUCCCUGUAGAAUGGGAAGAAGACAUGAGUGGACAAAACGACUUAGGUAUUAUAGUCACAUUUCCUUCUAGGAGCUGGGCCUUCAUUUCCCAUCAGUGGUAUUUAUCAGCCUCGGCUACUCAGCAAGGAUUCUGCCUUCGUAAAUUUCCAGAAGAGCAGCAGGCACCAAGUUCUACUUUCAUGGAUAUUUCAAGACUCUAGGAGAAGCCUAUCAAGAUACUCUCAGUCUCUAAAAGUGAUUAUCUUGCAACCCUGCCGAUCUCUUGGCUUCAUGAGGAAUGAGGAAGCAAGCCUCUAGAAAUAUCUUUCACCAAGGACCCACGAGAACACUCGCCCUUGGAAACCAGCUGCUGUGCAGUAAGAAACCCAAGUCACAUGGAUGGCCACGUGUUGGCACUCUGGUUGAGAGCCCCACCUGGGCUCCUAGCUGACAGUCAGCAUCACCUAGCAGCCAUGAGACAAAGCCCACUCUUCUCAUCUAGCGAGUUGCCUUCAUAUCUGUGAGAGAGGGCCACGUGAACUGAAUUUCAUGGAUUGUGGUGGGAAUGAAAGCAGAGUCCUGACCCUUAGUUCAUGAAAAAUUAUCUGUGCAUGGACUGGCUCUGUGGCUGGUACAAAAAGAAACUUUCAAAAGAGAACAAAGAAAGCGUCAAAAGAAUAAGUGUGUAACUUCCCAAGACGAGAUUGGCGUUUUAUACAAGUAGACUGAGCUCUCCUGAAAAGGAAGGAAUUCUGUUUCCAUGUUGCGACAUAGAAACCCUGCCUGAGUUUCUAGCCUUUGGACUCAAGACUGCAACAUCAGCUCUUGCUGGAAUUUCCAGCCUACAGCCUGCCCCACGGAUUUUGGACAUGUCAACCCCUACAAUCACAGGACAUUGACGUUGACAGAGAAAGACCAAAGGAAUCUUUGUGACUUCAUCCAAAUGUCACAGCAAGAGUGAAAUAAGAAUGGAGAAAAAGGAAGCAAUCUCCGUGGUUUCAUUGGCGCUCACUCAUUGAGCCUUCCAGAGGAGGCUCCUGCCUUGCGAAGGUUCAGAGUCUAGGACAUCUAAUCCACCCAGAGGGGGCUUCAUAUUUGAUUAGGCCCUUGGAAUCCAGCUUAGAAAAUGAGCUGUUAAAAAGUCGAGGCAAAAUAGAGAGUGGACCCCUGACUCUUAGGGUGGGUUGGCGGCCGGUCUGAGCAGGAAGUGUUCUGAUGUGCUGACAGUGAGGAAACAGGCCGUGUUUUUGUUUAUUUUCUCAUAAAGUGCUGAUGAACAAAUGAGGUAGUUGCAUUAAGGGGCUCCGAAGCAAGCUGUGAAAAGAGAUUGGGGUUUAUCAGCCUUUUAGCCUGGUUUCCUUUGGAAAGAAUGCUUGUGACAUGGCGAGGCUCUGCAAGUCUGCGUGUCCACCCCCUCGGCGCGGCGCCCCUCCUCCCCGCACGCUCCUUGAUAACUUUGACUGCCUCAAACUGAUGUCAGCCCUUUUUGGUAGAUGGGGAGAAGGAGGGCCUCAUGGAUUCCUUAAUAAUAGAAGCAAAUGCUCGAGAGAUAGAGCAAUUUCCACACAUUAAAUAACCUCCUUUUUGUUUUUUGUGCUUAUGCUUGAUAGUUCUAAAUUUAAUUUGUGGACUCCUUUAAAGAGAUUUCUAGGAAAUUGGUGGGGGUGGGAAGUAGGAGAGGGCUCUGUUGGGAGGACAUUCAUAUUUUUUUGGAUCUAAGAUCUUACCUGACACAAGAAUGGAGGAAAGUCAGAAAUAUGAGGAAAGCAUUGCCUAUAGCUAUGAAUAAAUCUGUCACUUGGAAGAUAAAAACGCUUAAGCAGCAUACCUUAAAAUAAAGUAUGAGCUUUGAAUCCUUGGUGGAGCAAUGCAUGGAACAAAGAAAGAAAUGGUCAAAUAAAUUUAAAAAAUUAGAUAAUCCAGAAGCUUGCUUUGCUGCUAAACUCUGUGUCCUUCCAAGUUUCGUAAAGAGUAAUUGUAGAGUGGCCGUUAUCUCUGCUCCUUAGCUCUAGUUACCUCAGCUGCAAAGGUCGUGGCACCUUCCUCUGGGGGAGAAAUGAAGUCUGUUUCUCCUGAGCCAGAGUUGACAUCGUAGGAGUACAGUAACGUCUGGUAAAAUAACUCACUCAAAAUCAAGUUUGACCAGUGUGCUUCUGAGUCAAGGGAUUUAAAAUGUUUCACAGAUGACAGCAAUUUUAACCAAUGUGACCUAGGAUAAUUCCAAGGAAUAAAAAAUAUGGUAAAUGGUUCAGAAUGGAUUUGGUCCAAUACUGAAGGUUUUACAGGUUUUUUUAAAAAUUUCUUGCAAUGCAUGAAUAAAUGAAAAUAAUAAUAGGGUUUUGGAAGUAAUUGGAUUAUAUAUUGGAAGGAGAUGAAAUAUUUGAUGUGAAGUUCAAUUUGCUCAGAAAUAAGGACUAGCAUACACUUUGCUCUUUCCUGCUGUGUAUAUAUAUAUAUAUAUUUUUAAUUAAAAAUAUUUUUUCUUUUUGAGGAAGAUUAGCCCUGAGCCAACAUCUGUCACCCAUCCUCCU
rnacentral:lncRNA from 1 species